GAUGAACGCUAGCGGCAGGCUUAACACAUGCAAGUCGAACGGUAACAUUUCUUGCUUGCAAGAAGAUGACGAGUGGCGCACGGGUGCGUAACGCGUAUACAACCUGCCUUUAACAAAGGGAUAGCCCAUGGAAACGUGGAUUAAUACCUUAUAAUAUCUAGACAUGGCAUCAUGAUUAGAUCAAAGAUUUAUCGGUUAAAGGAGGGGUAUGCGUGACAUUAGCUAGUUGGUGAGGUAACGGCCCACCAAGGCAACGAUGUCUAGGGGUUCUGAGAGGAUGAUCCCCCACACUGGUACUGAGACACGGACCAG
rnacentral:rRNA from 1 species